rnacentral:lncRNA from 1 species
AGCGUAUAGAAGAUCUUUAUCUAUACUAUCUAUAAUAUAUAUAUAAAAGCGUAUAGAAAAAAUCUUACAAUGACAGAUGGAAUAAAAAUAAAAAUAAAAGAAUAUUCCCUACUUUUAUGAUCAAUUUGUUAGAAAAUAUUUCAAAUAAGAACGAACUAUUAUGAUCAAUUUGUUAAAAAAUAUCUUAAAUAAAAAUAAAUGGUUAUGAUCAAUCAAUUAAAAUAGCAUUCAUAUACAUCUAUUUUACAUUAAAACUAAAUUUAUUUUUAAAAUCAUAAUAAAAUCCAUCAAGUGGGUAUAAAAUAAAUGGUCGAAAUUGCACGACCUCCUAAAAAUUAAGGAUUAGAUUCUAUAAUUUAAGAUCGGAGUUAGAGAUCACUCUCUCGAUAGUGAAUAAAAUUUUCUAGCAAAAAUUCAAUCGAUUUUAAUUCUUUUACACCGUUAAACUAGCGAGCAUUCCAUAUCGACCGUUAAAAAAUGUCAACUUUGAGAUCUUUUGAUCGUAAGGUAGAUAAUGCCGAAAAAUUAUGAUAUUUAAUUUCUAAAAGUUUUAAAUGCUUUAAAUUAUGUUUAACGAUAAAAAUCGCCAAUUCAAAUACUCUAUCAUUGAAACAACUAAUGAGUACGAAGUCAAUCGUACUCAUAAGAGUAUAUAAGCUGAACUCAUUGCAGAUAUUUCUAAUAAAAUAUAAUAUACAAAUUUAUAAAAUUUAAUUUUUAUUAUAAUUUUUUGGAUAAAUAUGAUUUACAAAUUUAUAUUGAUAUGAAUUAAAUUAAAAUAAUUGUUACGUACAUUUGCACGUAAACUCAAUUAGUUAUAAC